AAGGUCCAAGCGACUGUUUAUCAAAAACACAGGGCUCUGCGAAGCCGCAAGGCGACGUAUAGGGUCUGACGCCUGCCCGGUGCCGGAAGGUUAAGAGGAGAGGUGAGAGCUUUGAAUCGAAGCCCCGGUAAACGGCGGCCGUAACAAUAACGGUCCUAAGGUAGCGAAAUUCCUUGUCGGGUAAGUUCCGACCCGCACGAAUGGCGUAACGAUUUGGACACUGUCUCGGAGAGGGGCUCGGCGAAAAAGAAUUGUCUGUGAAGAUGCGGACUACCUGCACCUGGACAGAAAGACCCUAUGAAGCUUUACUGUAUCCUGAGAUUGAAUUCGGGUAUUACUUGCGCAGUAUAGGUGGGAGACGUUGAUUUAAUUCUUGCGGGAAUUAAGGAGUCAUCAGUGAGAUACCACUCUUUUAAUGCCAGAAUUCUUUACCUUAUGUCGUUAUCCGGCUAGGGGACAGUUUCAGGUGGGCAGUUUGACUGGGGCGGUCGCCUCCUAAAGAGUAACGGAGGCGCGCGAAGGUUCCCUCAGGCUGUUUGGAAAUCAGCCGCAGAGUGUAAAGGCAGAAGGGAGCUUGACUGCGACACCUACAAGUGGAGCAGGUGCGAAAGCAGGUCUUAGUGAUCCGGUGGCUCCGAAUGGAAGGGCCAUCGCUCAUCGGAUAAAAGGUACGCCGGGGAUAACAGGCUGAUACCCCCCAAGAGUCCACAUCGACGGGGGUGUUUGGCACCUCGAUGUCGGC
rnacentral:rRNA from 15 species